UCGACAUUUAUUUCCCUUUAGUCGUACGGAAAAUAUAAAAUACUCGAUGUAAAGCAAGUAUAAUGUUAAGGUAUACUUAAAAAAAAAAUGUAUGAGAACAUCACAGGGUAUGAGGCCACUUUUUUAGGUGUGCGCAAUUGGAAUACGAAUCCGAGUAGCGCUCCGUCAAAAAUAAUUUGUUUUUGCUGAAUUUAAAAUGGAAAC